UGCCCCCUGGCCCAGCUGGUUAAGGCGUGUGACUGUUAAGUUCCACUUGGCAAUCACAAGAUCGUGAGUUCGAACCUCACGGGGGCAG